GCAUCACAGGUCUGUGGCUGAAAGUCGAUGGCAGUCGCAGCCAAAACGAUCCACGUAACGCAGUCAAAAGGGCUGUUGAGCAUGGUGCGGUUUAGAAGUAAGUCCUGCCGGGAAAACCGAGAGAGUGAGUUGUGAGAGGCAAGCGCCGGGUAGCUAAAGCUCCAGCAGGCGAGUGUGGGGUCAAAAGCCAGGUCAGCUGUAGAUGC
rnacentral:ncRNA from 12 species